UGAGACACGGCCCAGACUCCUACGGGAGGCAGCAGUGGGGAAUAUUGCACAAUGGGCGAAAGCCUGAUGCAGCCAUGCCGCGUGUGUGAAGAAGGCCUUCGGGUUGUAAAGCACUUUCAGUCAGGAGGAAAGGGUGUGAGUUAAUACCUCACAUCUGUGACGUUACUGACAGAAGAAGCACCGGCUAACUCCGUGCCAGCAGCCGCGGUAAUACGGAGGGUGCGAGCGUUAAUCGGAAUUACUGGGCGUAAAGCGUACGCAGGCGGUUUGUUAAGCGAGAUGUGAAAGCCCCGGGCUCAACCUGGGAACUGCAUUUCGAACUGGCAAACUAGAGUGUGAUAGAGGGUGGUAGAAUUUCAGGUGUAGCGGUGAAAUGCGUAGAGAUCUGAAGGAAUACCGAUGGCGAAGGCAGCCACCUGGGUCAACACUGACGCUCAUGUACGAAAGCGUGGGGAGCAAACGGGAUUAGAUACCCCGGUAGUCCACGCCGUAAACGAUGUCUACUAGAAGCUCGGAACCUCGGUUCUGUUUUUCAAAGCUAACGCAUUAAGUAGACCGCCUGGGGAGUACGGCCGCAAGGUUAAAACUCAAAUGAAUUGACGGGGGCCCGCACAAGCGGUGGAGCAUGUGGUUUAAUUCGAUGCAACGCGAAGAACCUUACCUACACUUGACAUACAGAGAACUUUCUAGAGAUAGAUUGGUGCCUUCGGGAACUCUGAUACAGGUGCUGCAUGGCUGUCGUCAGCUCGUGUUGUGAGAUGUUGGGUUAAGUCCCGCAACGAGCGCAACCCCUAUCCUUAGUUGCUAGCAGGUAAUGCUGAGAACUCUAAGGAGACUGCCGGUGAUAAACCGGAGGAAGGUGGGGACGACGUCAAGUCAUCAUGGCCCUUACGUGUAGGGCUACACACGUGCUACAAUGGCGCAUACAGAGUGCUGCGAACCUGCGAAGGUAAGCGAAUCACUUAAAGUGCGUCGUAGUCCGGAUUGGAGUCUGCAACUCGACUCCAUGAAGUCGGAAUCGCUAGU
rnacentral:rRNA from 1 species